AGCACGAAUUGAAACACCUUCCAAGGGCAGUUCAGAAGAAGCUCUCUGGUCUUCAGAUGUCUUCUUCAUGCUGACGGCAGUGUUUACUGGAGUGAUUCUUGUUCUCAUCAGUGUUCUUCUUUUCAUGCUGAAGAAGAAAAAACAACACAGUGAUGAAACUGACUGUAAAGUUGAACAAAAGAAUAAGGAAAAGAAUUCUAGCUACGCUGCUCUAAAGUUUUCGGAUAAGAAAAUCAAGAAAGCAGGAAGACACUCUGAAGUGGAUCCUUAGGUUGU